GAGAGUGUAGCUCAAAGUGGUAGAGCGCAUGCCUAGCAUGCCUGAGAUCCUGGGUUCAAUCCCCAGGACCUCCU
rnacentral:tRNA from 1 species